rnacentral:piRNA from 1 species
UACAAACACACAUCUGUCUAAAUCUAGAGA